GCGCGAGAACAAAUUCAAACUCCCUUGCCCAUGGAACCUUAAAGCCAAAGUCGAAUCAUAAUCAAACAAAAAUCUUCUGGCACUUGCCCCGACUAAACUACCAUAUCAUGGAGUGGCUGAUCCCUCCUUUCUAUGUGCCUACAAUGCAUGUCCCAAUGUUGUUUGCCAAACACGAAUUCCACAUGGCACAACCAACCUGUACAAAGAAACUCGCUCGUCGGCCGCUAACGGGCAAGGUGCUGAAAUGCCCUCAUCCCACCCCAGUUGACAAGCAAAGAGCUGUGAAAAAUAAUGCUCCACAAACCUUUACUACCCUUUCUUAAAUGGAAGGAAGCAGGGACGUCAAAUAUAUCUCUCAUGCUCAACUCCGAAGCAUUACUUGUCCAUCACGAUGCCUUAUGGGUCCCUCAAGGCCCUGUCUUUAGUC
rnacentral:lncRNA from 1 species